ensembl:ncRNA F56F11.7 ncRNA
AGAUGAUCACUUCGGGAGAAGGCACGUGAACAUUGAGAGCACUUGAAUGGGCGGUCUCCUGAAAA